rnacentral:tRNA from 1 species
GCAUAGCUCAGUUGGUAGAGCAUGAGACAUUGUGGGUUCGAGCCCCCUGUUGUGCA